rnacentral:rRNA from 1 species
AAGUAUAGCCAUAGAGGGUGAUAGUCCCGUAUGCGAAAAACAAACCUUAGCUAGCAGUAUCCUGAGUAGGGCGGGACACGAGAAAUCCUGUCUGAAGCUGGGUCGACCACGAUCCAACCCUAAAUACUAAUACCAGAUCGAUAGUGCACAAGUACCGUGAGGGAAAGGUGAAAAGAACUGAGGUGAUCAGAGUGAAAUAGAACCUGAAACCAUUUGCUUACAAUCAUUCAGAGCCCUAUGUAGCAAUACAGGGUGAUGGACUGCCUUUUGCAUAAUGAGCCUGCGAGUUGUGGUGUCUGGCAAGGUUAAGCAAACGCGAAGCCGUAGCGAAAGCGAGUCUGAAUAGGGCGCUUAGUCAGAUGCUGCAGACCCGAAACGAAGUGAUCUAUCCAUGAGCAAGUUGAAGCUAGUGUAAGAACUAGUGGAGGACUGAACCCAUAGGCGUUGAAAAGCCCCGGGAUGACUUGUGGAUAGGGGUGAAAGGCCAAUCAAACUUCGUGAUAGCUGGUUCUCUCCGAAAUAUAUUUAGGUAUAGCGUUGUGUCGUAAUAUAAGGGGGUAGAGCACUGAAUGGGCUAGGGCAUACACCAAUGUACCAAACCCUAUCAAACUCCGAAUACCUUAUAUGUAAUCACAGCAGUCAGGCGGCGAGUGAUAAAAUCCGUCGUCAAGAGGGAAACAACCCAGACUACCAGCUAAGGUCCCUAAAUCUUACUUAAGUGGAAAACGAUGUGAAGUUACUUAAACAACCAGGAGGUUGGCUUAGAAGCAGCCAUCCUUUAAAGAAAGCGUAAUAGCUCACUGGUCUAGUGAUUUUGCGCGGAAAAUAUAACGGGGCUAAAGUAAGUACCGAAGCUGUAGACUUGCGCACAACUUAGAUUAUUUAAGUUUAGAAUAUGAGAAACUAAGUUAUAUGUUUAGUUAUAUUUUUACUGAUUUUUAUAGAGUAAAGAUAGAAAUAAAACUUAGUAAAAUCAGUAAAAAUAUUCUUAGACUAAAGUUAAGUAGUUUAAGUUGUGUGCAAGUGGUAGGAGAGCGUUCUAUUUGCGUCGAAGGUAUACCGGUAAGGAGUGCUGGAGCGAAUAGAAGUGAGCAUGCAGGCAUGAGUAGCGAUAAUUAAUGUGAGAAUCAUUAACGCCGUAAACCCAAGGUUUCCUACGCGAUGCUCGUCAUCGUAGGGUUAGUCGGGUCCUAAGUCGAGUCCGAAAGGGGUAGACGAUGGCAAAUUGGUUAAUAUUCCAAUACCAACAUUAGUGUGCGAUGGAAGGACGCUUAGGGCUAAGGGGGCUAGCGGAUGGAAGUGCUAGUCUAAGGUCGUAGGAGGUUAUACAGGCAAAUCCGUAUAACAAUACUCCGAGAACUGAAAGGCUUUUUGAAGUCUUCGGAUGGAUAGAAGAACCCCUGAUGCCGUCGAGCCAAGAAAAGUUUCUAAGUUUAGCUAAUGUUGCCCGUACCGUAAACCGACACAGGUGGGUGGGAUGAGUAUUCUAAGGCGCGUGGAAGAACUCUCUUUAAGGAACUCUGCAAAAUAGCACCGUAUCUUCGGUAUAAGGUGUGGUUCGCUUCGUAUUAGGAUUUACUCCGAAAGCGAAGAAACUUACAACAAAGAGUCCCUCCCGACUGUUUACCAAAAACACAGCACUCUGCUAACUCGUAAGAGGAUGUAUAGGGUGUGACGCCUGCCCGGUGCUCGAAGGUUAAUUGAUGGGGUUAGCAUUAGCGAAGCUCUUGAUCGAAGCCCGAGUAAACGGCGGCCGUAACUAUAACGGUCCUAAGGUAGCGAAAUUCCUUGUCGGUUAAAUACCGACCUGCAUGAAUGGCGUAACGAGAUGGGAGCUGUCUCAAAGAGGGAUCCAGUGAAAUUGUAGUGGAGGUGAAAAUUCCUCCUACCCGCGGCAAGACGGAAAGACCCCGUGGACCUUUACUACAGCUUGACACUGCUAUUUGGAUAAGAAUGUGCAGGAUAGGUGGGAGGCUUUGAGUAUAUGACGCCAGUUGUAUAUGAGCCAUUGUUGAGAUACCACUCUUUCUUAUUUGGGUAGCUAACCAGCUUGAGUUAUCCUCAAGUGGGACAAUGUCUGGUGGGUAGUUUGACUGGGGCGGUCGCCUCCCAAAUAAUAACGGAGGCUUACAAAGGUUGGCUCAGAACGGUUGGAAAUCGUUCGUAGAGUAUAAAGGUAUAAGCCAGCUUAACUGCAAGACAUACAAGUCAAGCAGAGACGAAAGUCGGU